ACAUCUGAGCAACUACAGUCAAUGAGGGCUGUUAAAAUCAUUAUCUAUCUGCCAAUGCUAGCGGCCAUGAAGCUCACAAGUGGCUGAAAGGCACUGGAUGCUAACAAAAAAUAACAAAGUAAAACUGAGGAGAGAGUGACCCACCUCCCUGGGUUUGGGAAACAUUAUUAGGAAUAAAAAGCCCUUAUCAGAGCUGCUCAUUGCCUCUGUCCUUUCAUACUCCACCAGUGGGUACUGAUAUCUCCAAAUUAUGCCGCCCCCCCAAAUGUGAUCCUUCCCAUUUAUCCAAAGUUCACACAAAAUCACAGAAUGAGAAGUAUAACAGACCCCCUCCUCAGGCACCCCAGGCCUCAGUGUGGAAUGGAUACACUCCGUAUAGACUGUUUCCCAUGGGCUAUGGGACCCAGGCAGCGUCCCUGGGUCUCCAUGCUUCAUACAUGGUCCUCUAUGCCAGCCUCAUGGGAAUCUUGCCCCACCCCUGCACCUCCCCAUUUCCUCCAUUUCUAAUUGUGCUUUUAUGUCAAAACCUCUUUUUUUCUCCUGCUCUGUUGACAUAACUUUUAAUGUAUAUUACAUUCUACUAUGUGCAUGUAACUUAAUUAACAGUGACCGACACAUUACAUAGGAGGUGCUGUUCAUAUACUAACUCAUUUGCUCCUCGUAACCGCUCUAAGACACGGCACUACUGACAUUUUAAAAAUGGAACUGAGGCACAGUGGGGUUGAGAAACCAGCCCAAGGUCACACAGCUCAGAGGAGGCUUGCACCCAGGCCAUCUCCUGGGCUGCUAAAGCUGUGGCUGUCCAGCCCUUGCCUGAUGGUGUGUCCUGACUCCGUGUUGGGUUUGGACUAUCAUCACAUCACCCAGCUGUCCCCUGGGUUUACCUGUGCUGUGAGAUUCAGCUUUGGACAGAUCAUGCUCCCAUCCUGUGAAGGUUUGCCUGUGUUUUCAAAAUUUUUGGCAGGGCUUAAGUUUUGUCUCAUCCCAAUUUUUGGCUCAGACUUUCUGCUGCAGAAUCUUUCAACUAAGGGAGCCUGGCUUUAGAAUACACCACAGUAACCCCAUCCUGACCUGUAAGCAGAAGUUUAAGCAGGAUUUUAAAAGUUGCUUAAAAUUCUAGAAAGGAAAUUUAAGAGUUAAUUAAAAAAAAAAGCAAGAAAUCCAUGUGAGUGUGUUAAAUAAAGGCUUCUGAAGGGCACAAGAAAAUGGAAAACGUAGUGGGAAAAUCACAGAUGCUUGACUAGCUUAAAACAUGGAAAAGAAGGCUAGUGAUGGGUUGACUGCUUACAAGAGCAUCUCCAAGGAUGGAAAGCUUGAAGAAUGAGCAAACCUAAAUAUGGCAGUGAAGUGCAAUUUACUAAACACAUACAGGGGGAGUAGGAAAGUUUGUAAAUUAUCCAGGACAAGAAAGGUUAAAAGGGAUACCUUUAUAAGAUGAGGAAGGAAAAUUGGUAACAAUGGAUGCUACUUAAAAGGCAGCUGCUGAGUCACUGAAUGGGUAUAAUUUGGAAACAGCCAGAUAUGAAGAGUGGAGAGUAAGAAUGUGGGCUCUGGAGGGCCUUGAGCAUGUUUAUAAAUGGGCACAGCAGAGCAGUGGCCUGAGGCCAGGCUUAGGUGGACAGUGCCUUAAUGCUGGACACCCAGGGACCCAGAUCGGCAUACCCAUCCCCCUGUGUAUGCUCAGGUCAGCAUGUAGAUGGAAUCUGUAAAAUAGAAGUGUAGUUGGAAAUAAUAAUCACUGUCCAUAUCAAAAAUAAGCAGUGACUAAUCAUAAGGAAAUAAAAAUGAUAUAUGUAAAACCUUGAUCAGUACUUAUGGAAUGGGCAUCAGCUUUGUGCACCAUGACCACAUAAGUAAGAGGGUGACAAAGGCAAGAGUGACAUGGAAGGGAUGGCUCCAGGUGGCAGGACAAAAAAGACAGAUGAAGGUGAUACCAAUCUUAUGUAAGAAAGGGAAAAGAGCAUUUUGAAUUUUGGCAAAUAAUCACACAGAAAUAGUGUGACGAUGAGUCUGCUUCCAAAUCAGAGGAUUAAUGACUAAGAAUAGAAGAAGAAAUAAAGAAUUUCUCCAACAAACAAAAGCUAACAGAGUACAGCAAUACUAAACCCAUUCUAAAAGAAAUACUGAAAGGCCUUCUCUAAAUAAAAAAGAAGAAAUAGGAUGGAGGAAAUCACAAUUGGAAAGCAAUCACUUAAAUAAGCCAGUGUACAGAUCUAAAAGGAAAAAAAAACCCUACUGUAAAACUGAUGAGAAACACAAGGAAUAGCAAAAGGACAAACAUGAAGAUGUUAAAAAAGGACUUCAAAAUCAUAGAAUGUGGGGAAGGAAAGUAAGAAAACAUAGACUUUUUUUUUUUUUUUAAAUAAUGUGUUUGAGCCUGUGUGACUAUCAGGCUAAAGUAAGCUGAUAUAGGAAGGGGUUAACAUGCUUAAAAACCAGGGCAACCAUAAAUAAAAACCAAACAUUAUAUUCACAAAAACUAAAAAGAAAAGUACACGAGCAUAAAAUAAAUGGAAAUCAUCCAACCAAAAAAAGAAAGGAACAAAGGAGAAACAUAGAAUCAAUUGGAAAACAAGGUUUAAAAUGGCAAUAAAUAUAUAUUUAUCAAUAAUUACCUUAAAUGUCAAUGGACUAAAUGCUCCAAUCAAAAGACACAGAGGGGCAGACUGGAUUAAAAAGCAAGAGCCUACAAUAUGCUGUCUACAAGAGACUCCCCUUAGGGCAAAGGACCCAUAUAGAUUGAAAGUAAAGGGAUGGGAAAAGAUAUUUCAUGCCAAUGGACAAGACAGGAAAGUAGGAGUUGCAAUACUCAUAUCAGACAAAAGAGACUUUAGGAGCUCCCAUUGCAGUGGCCUGGGAGGGAGAGUAGGACCUGCAAGAUACCCCUCCCUUCCUGUCUGGAUGCCUGGGAGCCAAGGACAGAGGC
rnacentral:lncRNA from 1 species